rnacentral:rRNA from 1 species
CCUACGGGAGGCAGCAGUGAGGAAUAUUGGUCAAUGGGCGCGAGCCUGAACCAGCCAAGUAGCGUGAAGGAUGACUGCCCUACGGGUUGUAAACGUCUUUUAUAAAGGAAUAAAUUUAGGCACGUGUGCCUUUUUGUAUUUACUGUAUGAUUAAGGAUCGGCUAACUCCGUGCCAGCAGCCGCGGUAAUACGGAGGAUCCGAGCGGUAUCCGGAUUGAUUGGGUUUAAAGGGAGCGUAGAUGGGUUGUUAAGUCAGUUGUGAAAGUUUGCGGCUCAAACGUAAAAUUGCAAUUGAUACUGGCAGUCUUGAGUACAGUUGAGGUAGGCGGAAUUCGUGGUGUAGCGGUGAAAUGCUUAGAUAUCACGAAGAACUCCGAUUGCGAAGGCAGCUUACUAAACUGCCACUGACAUUGAUGCUCGAAAGUGUGGGUAUCAAACAGGAUUAGAUACCCUUGUAGUC